UACGUAGGGUGCAAGCGUUAAUCGGAAUUACUGGGCGUAAAGCGUGCGCAGGCGGCUCUGCAAGACAGAUGUGAAAUCCCCGGGCUCAACCUGGGAAUUGCAUUUGUGACUGCAGCGCUGGAGUGCGGCAGAGGGAGAUGGAAUUCCGCGUGUAGCAGUGAAAUGCGUAGCUAUGCGGAGGAACACCGAUGGCGAAGGCAAUCUCCUGGGCCUGCACUGACGCUCAUGCACGAAAGCGUGGGGAGCAAACAGG
rnacentral:rRNA from 1 species